rnacentral:rRNA from 1 species
UUAAGCGACUAAGCGUACACGGUGGAUGCCCUGGCAGUCAGAGGCGAUGAAGGGCGUGCUAAUCUGCGAUAAGCGCCGGUAAGGUGAUAUGAACCGUUAUAACCGGCGAUACCCGAAUGGGGAAACCCAGUGUGACUCGUCACACUAUCAUUAACUGAAUCCAUAGGUUAAUGAGGCGAACCGGGGGAACUGAAACAUCUAAGUACCCCGAGGAAAAGAAAUCAACCGAGAUUCCCCCAGUAGCGGCGAGCGAACGGGGAGGAGCCCAGAGCCUGAAUCAGCAUGUGUGUUAGUGGAAGCGUCUGGAAAGGCGCGCGAUACAGGGUGACAGCCCCGUACACAAAAGCGCAUGUGCUGUGAGCUCGAUGAGUAGGGCGGGACACGUGGUAUCCUGUCUGAAUAUGGGGGGACCAUCCUCCAAGGCUAAAUACUCCUGACUGACCGAUAGUGAACCAGUACCGUGAGGGAAAGGCGAAAAGAACCCCGGCGAGGGGAGUGAAAAAGAACCUGAAACCGUGUACGUACAAGCAGUGGGAGCCCCACCACCAAAGCAUUCUCUGGUGUUGAAGGCCCUGCAAAGCAGCAUCGCGGUGGCGGAGCGUCGUUUGCGACGCCCAACACACAAAACAAGCGGUGAGUGCUUUGGGGUGGGGUGACUGCGUACCUUUUGUAUAAUGGGUCAGCGACUUAUAUUCUGUAGCAAGGUUAACCGUAUAGGGGAGCCGGAGGGAAACCGAGUCUUAACCGGGCGUUAAGUUGCAGGGUAUAGACCCGAAACCCGGUGAUCUAGCCAUGGGCAGGUUGAAGGUUGGGUAACACUAACUGGAGGACCGAACCGACUAAUGUUGAAAAAUUAGCGGAUGACCUGUGGCUGGGGGUGAAAGGCCAAUCAAACCGGGAGAUAGCUGGUUCUCCCCGAAAGCUAUUUAGGUAGCGCCUCGUGAAUUCAUCUCCGGGGGUAGAGCACUGUUUCGGCUAGGGGGCCAUCCCGGCUUACCAACCCGAUGCAAACUGCGAAUACCGGAGAAUGUUAUCACGGGAGACACACGGCGGGUGCUAACGUCCGUCGUGAAGAGGGAAACAACCCAGACCGCCAGCUAAGGUCCCAAAGUCAUGGUUAAGUGGGAAACGAUGUGGGAAGGCCCAGACAGCCAGGAUGUUGGCUUAGAAGCAGCCAUCAUUUAAAGAAAGCGUAAUAGCUCACUGGUCGAGUCGGCCUGCGCGGAAGAUGUAACGGGGCUAAACCAUGCACCGAAGCUGCGGCAGCGACGCUUAUGCGUUGUUGGGUAGGGGAGCGUUCUGUAAGCCUGUGAAGGUGGCCUGUGAGGGUUGCUGGAGGUAUCAGAAGUGCGAAUGCUGACAUAAGUAACGAUAAAGCGGGUGAAAAGCCCGCUCGCCGGAAGACCAAGGGUUCCUGUCCAACGUUAAUCGGGGCAGGGUGAGUCGACCCCUAAGGCGAGGCCGAAAGGCGUAGUCGAUGGGAAACGGGUUAAUAUUCCCGUACUUGGUGUUACUGCGAAGGGGGGACGGAGAAGGCUAUGUUGGCCGGGCGACGGUUGUCCCGGUUUAAGCGUGUAGGUGUGUGUUCCAGGUAAAUCCGGUUCACUUUAACACUGAGGCGUGAUGACGAGGCACUACGGUGCUGAAGCAACAAAUGCCCUGCUUCCAGGAAAAGCCUCUAAGCAUCAGGUAACAUCAAAUCGUACCCCAAACCGACACAGGUGGUCAGGUAGAGAAUACCAAGGCGCUUGAGAGAACUCGGGUGAAGGAACUAGGCAAAAUGGUGCCGUAACUUCGGGAGAAGGCACGCUGACANGUAGGUGAAGUGAUUUACUCAUGGAGCUGAAGUCAGUCGAAGAUACCAGCUGGCUGCAACUGUUUAUUAAAAACACAGCACUGUGCAAACACGAAAGUGGACGUAUACGGUGUGACGCCUGCCCGGUGCCGGAAGGUUAAUUGAUGGGGUCAGCGCAAGCGAAGCUCCUGAUCGAAGCCCCGGUAAACGGCGGCCGUAACUAUAACGGUCCUAAGGUAGCGAAAUUCCUUGUCGGGUAAGUUCCGACCUGCACGAAUGGCGUAAUGAUGGCCAGGCUGUCUCCACCCGAGACUCAGUGAAAUUGAACUCGCUGUGAAGAUGCAGUGUACCCGCGGCAAGACGGAAAGACCCCGUGAACCUUUACUAUAGCUUGACACUGAACAUUGAGCCUUGAUGUGUAGGAUAGGUGGGAGGCUUUGAAGUGUGGACGCCAGUCUGCAUGGAGCCGACCUUGAAAUACCACCCUUUAAUGUUUGAUGUUCUAACGUGGACCCGUGAUCCGGGUUGCGGACAGUGUCUGGUGGGUAGUUUGACUGGGGCGGUCUCCUCCUAAAGAGUAACGGAGGAGCACGAAGGUUGGCUAAUCCUGGUCGGACAUCAGGAGGUUAGUGCAAUGGCAUAAGCCAGCUUGACUGCGAGCGUGACGGCGCGAGCAGGUGCGAAAGCAGGUCAUAGUGAUCCGGUGGUUCUGAAUGGAAGGGCCAUCGCUCAACGGAUAAAAGGUACUCCGGGGAUAACAGGCUGAUACCGCCCAAGAGUUCAUAUCGACGGCGGUGUUUGGCACCUCGAUGUCGGCUCAUCACAUCCUGGGGCUGAAGUAGGUCCCAAGGGUAUGGCUGUUCGCCAUUUAAAGUGGUACGCGAGCUGGGUUUAGAACGUCGUGAGACAGUUCGGUCCCUAUCUGCCGUGGGCGCUGGAGAACUGAGGGGGGCUGCUCCUAGUACGAGAGGACCGGAGUGGACGCAUCACUGGUGUUCGGGUUGUCAUGCCAAUGGCACUGCCCGGUAGCUAAAUGCGGAAGAGAUAAGUGCUGAAAGCAUCUAAGCACGAAACUUGCCCCGAGAUGAGUUCUCCCUGAGACUUUAGGUCUCCUGAAGGAACGUUGAAGACGACGACGUUGAUAGGCCGGGUGUGUAAGCGCAGCGAUGCGUUGAGCUAACCGGUACUAAUGAACCGUGAGGCUUAACCUU